rnacentral:rRNA from 1 species
UACGAAGGGGGGCUAGCGUUGCUCGGAAUUACUGGGCGUAAAGGGCGCGUAGGCGGCACUGUUAGUCAGGCGUGAAAGUCCUGGGCUCAACCUGGGAACUGCGCUUGAUACGGCAGAGCUAGAGGAUGGAAGAGGCUCGCGGAAUUCCCAGUGUAGAGGUGAAAAUUCGUAGAUAUUGGGAAGAACACCGGUGGCGAAGGCGGCGAGCUGGUCCAUUACUGACGCUGAGGCGCGACAGCGUGGGGGAGCAAACAGG